CCCCAAACAGGGCCUUAAUCAUUUCUAAUAGUAAUGAAAAAUAUUAAUUAAGUUAAUUAAAUGUAAUUUAUUGCUUGUUGAACAAAAAAUAAAAAUAAAAAUAAAAGAAAGCACUUUCAGUCAGUGCUGGAUGAACUUCUGAAACCAGCUGAAACUACCUAGAAACUAACCCAAACCGAAAAAAUAUUGGUCAGUUUUGGAUAAGUCUCAAACAACGUGUAGGUUCAAGAGGGUCAAACUAUUGGUAGUCUAGAAGCAACAUAUGGAGAAUCCCAACAGACCCACUACAACUAUCAAAUUGAAAAAUCAAAACCUUAAGUCAAACACUUUGUAACAAAAUUCAAAUUUCAAGUGAAUGAUCCCUAACACUCAAAAAGCAUAAAGUCACAGGAAUGAACAUGCAUGCACAAUCAUAAGUAAGAUUUGGUCCACAUCUUGUGAUCUAAUGUUUGUACGGUUUUCUUUGUAACCAUCAUUUGCAUAUGAAUGCACGAGAAACAAACAAUCUAGUUGUCUCCAAAUGUCAAU
rnacentral:lncRNA from 1 species